CUGGACAGACCUGGCUAUCCAGUAGCACCUAUUCUAACCUUACAGGGCAGAGCCAGGUGAAACAUCAGAACAGGGAGAAGACUCUAGAAACUGAGAAUUGACUUGAAUUUGACUUAGAUUUCAACACACUUAUUAAGUAACUACUGUGCAUUGGACCUGUGCUAGUGCCAGGGACACAAAGACCAGGAUAGCACAGGCUGUUUCUCAAGAAGCUCUCAGGCUGCUGGGGGAGAAAGGCACAGGAACGAAGUGGCAGUGCCUUGUGGAGAGAAAACACUUGGCCAAAGCUCUUCACUGAGGGACCUGAAUUCAGAAGACCUGAACUGCAGCCAAGAUGCCAACCCUGUCUCUACAGCAAUGACAACCGGAGGACCCUCCCGUUUGGAAACCCUAACCUCUAUUAUGCUGAGGAACAGUUUGGAAUGGACGUCCGAUGACCCCAGGACAGUGAGCCAGCUUGGGUGAGGAGCCCAUAGGUGGUCAAGCACACAGCAACGCUUCAGGCCUCUGGACACAAUCUUCUACAGGAGCAAUAACCAGAAGUAAAACCAGAAGGGAGCUUGUGCACUGACUGUGGGAAGCAAGGAAUCACACUGUUCUUUACUGCAUACAAAAUUCCCCCACGUUGAGAUUGUUUCUGGAAUCAUAAAAGGGGUCUUUCUUGGGGACAACAAUUGCAACCUGGCCUUGUCCUCUAAGUCUGCUCAGGUAGGUUACAAUCUACCUGGAUGCACUGGUCUGAUUCACGUGCCCUUCAGUCUGUGCCACACACAGUGAGGCUGAUAAAUUAUGAGUGAGUCACUUGAAGCCAGGCCCAUGUCCUCAAUUUGUGUAUCCAACCCAGGGCUGAGCUGGAGACGGC
rnacentral:lncRNA from 1 species